GAGGAAAAGAAAACAUCAGCACCAGAGCCAAACCUAUUUCUCCGGGUAAUCCAUCUCUGUACUGCUGCUCCCUGCAAAUCUCUCUCGCGUUAGGUUCCCUGGCUUCAGACUAAUGCACACACUGUAUUCCUCAGAAAUUUAAAGAUGACAGCUUUUUUUUUUCUUCAUUAAGCGCCCUUCUCUUCAAAAGACAAAAAAGGUAAGAUUCUCUGGGUCAGAAGCCAGACAGACUUUUUCACAGCUCUGAAAAAGUGAGAACAGCGAAUUCACUUCCCUUCUCCCAAAAGGCAUGUGCCACCGGGUGCUCCUGCUCCCUGCAAGAUCCCUUCCUGUAGAGUUAGGAGGUAGAGGUGUGGCUCCGAUGUGUUCCCCAGGCGUCCCUGUGAGGUCGGCGCCCUCCCCUGUCCAUUCCCCUUAGAGCCUUGGGUCGCUUCCCACCCCGCGUCCCCUGGGACACCACUGGACGCCUGGCCCUGCCCGUGAGCGCCGCUCCACUCCGCCUGGAUGUGGGCACGCGGGAAGGCCACUGCCCAGCCGCCACUCCCGGCUUCCCUGAAGGGCAGGGCAGGGGCGGGAACGGAAGGGAGCUGCAUGGAAGGAAGCCGUUUGGGAACUGUGGUUGGUCUGACUGGGUGUUGGGUUUGUGGCUACCCAGAGAAAGGCACGGAGUUAGCCCUUCGCAGUGGGUGACGCCCUGCUCCUCGCCCGGUCCCCCUCAGCUCAGCCUCCUGUGAAAGAGAAUCUGGGGCUACAACGCACUUCCCUCCCCAACUCCGGGGAACGCCGUCUCCCUGCAGCGUAGUAGGAAAGGCGCCCCUGCAGGGGUGCAGCUGCAGCCCCAGGGAGAAGCCCCUUCAACCCCCCACGCUAGGAGAGGCCCACCGCCCUGGCCCAGAGGUCGGCCUGGCCUCAGUUUCCCUCCCUCUGUCCUCCGCCCCCAGCUCCCUCUCCCCAGAACUAGGCAGGGCAGGACAGCCCUUGGGGGUCUUGGCUCUUUACUUGGGUCCCUUUAGAGCUCUUCCUAUCAGUGAGAGAUUUAUUCACAAAGACGAUUCUUUUUGUUGUUCUGGGGCUAUUGACUCAAAUACACAAAAUACAAACACGGAGUCACUCAGAUACUACGAUCUCUCUAGUCUGUGUUAAUCUAGUACAAUUUCUCCCUAAGUAGAACAUUGAUCCAGGCACUGACCCCAUCCCACGAUGAGGAGUAUUAUUUUCUGUUGCUCUGCACGACGAUGUCAGGACAGCAUCCCCCUUCCCCACCCUGCCCAGUCCUCCCAGGCUUGCCUGGGCCUGUGUGAAGGGAUAGUGCCUGUCCCAGAACCACCACUCACCCCUUGGUGGCAACACAAAGAAUAAGCACGACUGCUUUUGGGCCCUUAGCCCAGAUCCUGGGCCAGGUGUCCCCACACCUGUUAGGGAAGCAGUAAGGAUUUCUUCCUGUGCCAGCAAUCUCUUGCUGAGGGGAUGGGAGGGGGAUUCAUUCUCUGAUUUCACGUAUGGUUUUAGUUCCCAUGAGAUCCCCCAAGGACUUUGUAGCCACAGCUGUUUGUCUAUUCUCAGCUAUGCAGGCAGAAAGGCAGGCAACAGGGUCUUCUCCUCGGAGGAGCUAUGGUGUCUGCCUUCAGGGAGUGCUCCCACACUUCGGGAGGCUAAACUUUCCUCAUUGAGACAGCACAGCUUCCUGUGAAGCUGUAGAGUAAGGAACGCUGCCCAGCACACACUGGGGGUUGAGGGCUGUGGGGAGAGGAUCCUCACUCAGAGAGGGGGCAGGUUGCCAUCAGGCAAUGCAGGGACUUUGUCAAGGGCCAGAAAUCUGUUUUCCGUUCCUAUGUCCCACCCUGGAUCUCCUCGUUCUCCUUCCCCAGUAUUUGCCAGGCAUAGGAGACUCUGUAGUGGCUUUAACUAUGGUGCUGGAGGGAGCAUGACUGGGUUGUGUGUUUGGGGAGGGGUGGAAGAGUGGAGGUGCAUGGCAUGUAUGUGUAUGUGUACAUGGAUCACAUAUGAUGGGCACUUACAUGUUGCUUUUUAAUGAGAGAUGUAUUCAGUUCAAAGGACAUUUAAGGCGUUUAUGCUGAGCUGGUGCUGCCAGGUGUGUGCUGCUUAGAAUGAAAAGAUACAUCACACAUGUUCUAUGCAGUAAAAUAACCUCAAUCCAGUGGAACAGUGUUUCUCCAACUUUUCAGGCCGUGAUUCACAGUAAAAAUUCUUUUCUUAAAAAUUAUAUUUAUUUGUGUGAAAUAUAACAUAAAAUUUAUUAUCUUAACCAUUUUAAGUGUAC
rnacentral:lncRNA from 1 species